rnacentral:rRNA from 1 species
CUACGGGUCGCUCCAGUGGGGAAUAUUGGGCAAUGGGCGCAAGCCUGACCCAGCAACGCCGCGUGAGGGAAGAAGGUUCUCGGAUUGUAAACCUCUGUCCUUGGGGACGAGGAAAGUGACGGUACCCAAGGAGGAAGCUCCGGCUAACUACGUGCCAGCAGCCGCGGUAAUACGUAGGGAGCAAGCGUUGUCCGGAAUUACUGGGCGUAAAGGGUGCGUAGGCGGCAUAUUAAGUCAGGUGUGAAAUAUUCGGGCUCAACCCGAAGGCUGCAUUUGAAACUGGUAUGCUUGAGUGUGGAGAGGAAAGUGGAAUUCCUAGUGUAGCGGUGAAAUGCGUAGAUAUUAGGAGGAACACCAGUGGCGAAGGCGACUUUCUGGCUCAUAACUGACGCUGAGGCACGAAAGCGUGGGUAGCAAACAGGAUUAGAUACCCUUGUAGUC